CGGGAUGUGGCGCAGUUUGGCAGCGCGCGGCGUUUGGGACGCUGAGGUCGUCGGUUCAAAUCCGGCCAUCCCGACCA
rnacentral:tRNA from 1 species